rnacentral:rRNA from 1 species
GAUGAACGCUGGCGGCGUGCUUAACACAUGCAAGUCGAACGGAAAGGCCCAAGCUUGCUUGGGUACUCGAGUGGCGAACGGGUGAGUAACACGUGGGUGAUCUGCCCUGCACUUCGGGAUAAGCCUGGGAAACUGGGUCUAAUACCGGAUAGGACCACGUCUUGGAUGUUGUGGUGGAAAGUUUUUUCGGUGUGGGAUGAGCUCGCGGCCUAUCAGCUUGUUGGUGGGGUAAUGGCCUACCAAGGCGUCGACGGGUAGCCGGCCUGAGAGGGUGUACGGCCACAUUGGGACCGAGAUACGGCCCAGACUCCUACGGGAGGCAGCAGUGGGGAAUAUUGCACAAUGGGCGCAAGCCUGAUGCAGCGACGCCGCGUGGGGGAUGACGGCCUUCGGGUUGUAAACUCCUUUCGCUAGGGACGAAGCGUUUUUGUGACGGUACCUGGAGAAGAAGCACCGGCUAACUACGUG